GAAAGGCCCUGCUUGCNGGGUACUCGAGUGGCGAACGGGUGAGUAACACGUGGGUGAUCUGCCCUGCACUUCGGGAUAAGCCUGGGAAACUGGGUCUAAUACCGGAUAGGACCAUCGUUUAGUGUCGGUGGUGGAAAGUUUUUUCGGUGUGGGAUGAGCUCGCGGCCUAUCAGCUUGUUGGUGGGGUAAUGGCCUACCAAGGCGUCGACGGGUAGCNGGUCUGAGAGGGUGGACGGCCACAUUGGGACUGAGACACGGCCCANACUCCUACGGGAGGCAGCAGUGGGGAAUAUUGCACAAUGGGCGCAAGCCUGAUGCAGCGACGNCNCGUGGGGGAUGACGGCCUUCGGGUUGUAAACUCCUUUCNNCCA
rnacentral:rRNA from 1 species